rnacentral:misc_RNA from 1 species
AACGCACGAGACCUGCGGACCUGCGGAGGGAUCAUUAGUGAACGCCCUCACGGGCUUAUAACUAUUCCAAACCUCUGUGAACCGUGCCCUUCGGGGCUAUUUUACAAACAUGGUGUAAUGAACGUCAUAUAUCAUAACAAAACAAAACUUUCAGCAACGGAUCUCU